rnacentral:lncRNA from 1 species
GUUGAAAUACGUGAUUUUUAAAAACCGGAGGAUUGGAGAAGAUCGGAGACUUCACAAAGGCUCCGAGAGCCAAAUGGGUCAAUUCCUAAAAUCCACCCUUAGAGGGAGCCCGGCUGGCGCAGUAGGUAGGUGGAGCCUGGGACCCGAACUUGGGCCGCGAGUUCAAGUCCCACGCUGAGCGAGGACGUGACUUAAAAUAUUUAGGAGCGUCUCGUGGCUCAGUCGGUGAAGCAUCUGACUCUUGGUUUCAGCGCAGGUCCCGGUCUCAGGGUCGGGCUCCACGCUCAGCAGGGCGUUUGCAUGAGAUUCUCUCCCUCUGACCCCCGCCCCCCAAAAAACCACCCUUGGAUUCUCUAAUGCAAAACACGACAAAGAUCAUGGAAAUACUCCUUAGACGUCUUUCUGCAGAAGAAUGAGUCAGCUCGAUGUCCCGGGAGCAUAAUGACCCAGAGUGUGAGGAAACAAGACUCCGAUUUCAGAUCCACUGGAAUCAUCACCGAAAUGAAAAGACUGUGAGGACAUGGCGUGAGUGCACGGAGCCCCAGGGGAAACGAGAUCCUCCUCGGCAGCCCGCUUGGGGGGCUUCUGCAAAAAGGGCCGAAUAACCAAGAAUCAGACCCAAUACGUAGCAGACCCCACAGGCACUGGAACACGUGAUGGGAUUCGCUACCAGGUGAACAACGAAGCUCUCCACACGCACAGGUCACCACGGUUCUAGGUCCUUCCGCGUGGCUGGUGUGGGCGGCCAGGACCCCGAAAGCAACCAAAGCGCUGGCUCCCCUGGCGAUGGGCGGUGUGGGAUCGACCUGUUACUCUUAGGACAUUUGGGAGCAGCCACCAGGAGGGAAAAACAGAGCGGACAGCCCUCGAGGUUAGCCGACGGGGUCAAGUUUUCUCUCACGGGACGGGAUAGAACGUGUGAACAGAAAACAGAAACGGCUUCAACCUGUCCCAGCGUCGCGGAAAUCACAAUAAAUAUGAGUGAGUUCGACUCAUCAAGACGUGAGCUCUCCAAACUGCCUCGAGAGGCAAGAGCCAGCUUCUGCGUCUCGCAGGACAGAGUGGCCAGGACCGGACGGACGCCCGCCCCCAAGGCCAGGGGCUGGACGGGGCGGCCGUUGGCGUUCGGAGGCGCUGCGGGGACAACUGGGCCCGGAGUCAGCAGCACCGACCCCCGCUCACCUCACACCACGCACGGAAACUAACUCCAAACACGCCGUAAACUGACACACAAGAGCUAACGGAACUUUCUGGAAGGAAACACACAAGGGCACGCCGCCUCGGGAUGAGCAGAUUUCUUAGGAGACGAAGGCGGUAACCAGAGCAGGGAACAGUCCUAAAAUGCGCCUCAUCGAAAUUAAAAGCUUUUCUCCAAGACGCCAUGAAGAGAAUGAAAAAUGCAGUCGCAGAUGAGGACGGAGUAUCCACAACCCACGAAGAGGGCGCCCUGCACACCCCACUGGCCAGCGAGCCGCGCUCGGCGCUCAACGCUCCGGGCCCCAGGUUGGCGCGAGGGAAGCACGCGGUGCCCCGGGCCGCAGCCGCGACACUGGCCCAGGGGUGGGGGUCAGGGUGGCCACGGGGGCGCUCGCGGGGUUCUCAGCUUCUCGCCGAGACCGAAGCACCAGGCUCCCACGGCCCCAAAAUUCUACCAGGCGUGCGGCCCAGACACACAAACACGUCCACGCAAAGACGCGUGUGUGAGUGUGCGAGGCAGCAUGAGCCACCACAGCGCCGCACACGAGACCAGCCGCGUGUCCACCAGCGGAUGAACAAAUGGCGGCGUGUGCGGGGACUCGAGCGAUCGCACACACAGCUGCGGGGGACCGGCCCCAACACGCCGGGCCGAAGGGCCACCCGCAAAGGAGGAUCGUCCACCAGGUUCUAGAACAUGCGAGCCUCUAGAGUGACGGCGGCCGGGCCGCGGAAUCCCGGGGAGGGGCGGGGCUUCCUGGGGACGGAGAUGCCCGUCUGUCGGCUCGAGUGGUAGCCACGCGGCGUCCGCGGGUCCACGGACCUGAGCCAGGUUGGCCGUGACACGUGGAAACUCACCCCAGAGGAAGCCGAACGGCGCCGUCAUCGUCAGAAGAGGUGGA